GCGAGUUAUAAAUAGACAAUUUUUCCCUUAAUUUUUUUCUCCCCUCUUCCUGCAUUUUUGGGUUGACUUUUUGGUCUAGAAUUGGAGAAAAGGGAUCAAAUUUGCAAUUUCAUAGCAGUUUUGGGUAAUACUGAUGAUAUUACAGCGGAGGGAUAGGGGGUGUAAAGUGUCUUUCUGCAGAGCAGUCAUUGUGUCGGAAGUGAGAUUUUCACCCCAGUCAACUUCAAAUCCGUGUAGCAAAAAAUCUAAAUGGUCAACCCCCUACAAAAUUAUGAUGAGGAGAUUGCCAAAUGUUGUCCCCAUUGUGCCUAUAAAGAUUGGAACCAACGGAAUGUUGAGAAAAAAGCUACAGCCUGUGAUGUUACAGCCAUUUAACAUUGAAGUCAAUGGGCAAAUAAUUGCUAGUCUGAGUCCAUUGAUGAGAUAAAGAAACAUGGCCGACUCGGGAUGUUGAUAUUUUUUCAAGGGCUUAUUUCCUGAAGUUUUGAAUGGAAAGUGUCAGAAAUAGUAAGAAUACUGCUUUUUUAUUGCCCAGCAGUGCCAGGGCAAUGUUUCAUAGAGUGGAAUGAUUGACCUCAACACAAGUAUUAAAAAAAAAGAAGCAAAACAGGUCUACAUCUCAAAACCUGAUCUCUUCCUGGACUGGCUUUAGGAGAACGAUGAUGCAUAUCAAUUUCAUCCCUGAUCUCUAUGACACCUGUGGUGGAAGUGGAGGGCAAAUCGUAAUCAGUUUGGGACCUCUGUAAACUUUGCUUUUUGGUGAUGACUUAAUUUCCGAGCUUGAAAAGGACGCUUGUGUGUUUAUCAUGGCCUCUCAUAUUGGAAGAUAACAUUAAUGGCUUGUGUGUUGAUCGACGGUUGUGCAUAUCUCUUGGUCAGGAAAGUUGUAGGCACCAUCGCCAUUGUAAAUCAUUUGACAGGCUCGAGUGAACGGGGCGACCUAUGAUUGGUCAGCAAUGUAUCAGAUUCCAUACCGGGGGGUGGGGAUGAAAAAACUGUUGUAGUGUUACAUAAUCAGAUUAUUUCAACUUACUUAUCCUGUGGAAAUACAGCUAUAUAGGAGAUAUUUUGAAAUUCAUAGGCACUGCAUGUUUCAACAUUUUAGAUUUGACCACAAUUUGGCACUUAAAACUAUGUUAACAGAGAAAAACUGUGUGGUUUUCGAUGAAAGUGUUAAAAGUCUAAUAUUGCAUCAUGAUUACUGUUUUAAAGUAUUUUCGUGUUUGAUUUAUAUUGAAUUCAUCUCAUCUUUUUGAAGAAUGCAUUUAUGUUCAAAAAUAAAAAUGUUCUGUGGAAUUCAAAAUUCAUGUGCUUUUAAAUUAUCAGAUUCCAAACUGGGGGGUAGGGAUGAAAAAGCUGUUGUAGUGUUACAUAAUCAGAUUAUUUCAACUUACUUAUCCUAUGGAAAUACAGCUAUAUAGGAGAUAUUUUAAAAUUGAUAGGCACUGCAUGUUUCAACAUUUUAGAUUUGACCACAAUUUGGCACUUGAAACUACGUUAACAGAGAAAAACUGUGUGGUUUUCGAUGAAAGUGUUAAAAAGUCUAAUAUUGCAUCAUGAUUACUGUUUUAAAGUAUUUUCGUGUUUGAUUUAUAUUGAAUUUAUCUCAUCUUUUUACAGAAUGCAUUUAUGUUCAAAAAUAAAAAUGUUCUGUUUAAUUCAAAAUUCAUGUGCUUUUAAAUUUCUGUCUGAAAUUCCGCAGUUUUCUGAUGCAUUAUAGUGUUUGCAGAAUGCCGCACAGCUCAUCUGAAAAUGCAUAGAUUUUCAUAUUCUUUGGUCAGGGAAUUGCAUAUAUGUUUGUUUAUUAGAUAACAACAGAUUUGUUUAAACUGCAGAAACAUGUGAGGUAUAUAGGACUAAGACUAGUAAUUAUUUCAUGAUGGAGGAAUGUAGUGCGAGUUAUAAAUAGACAAUUUUUCCCUUAAUUUUUUUCUCCCCUCUUCCUGCAUUUUUGGGUUGACUUUUUGGUCUAGAAUUGGAGAAAAGGGAUCAAAUUUGCAAUUUCAUAGCAGUUUUGGGUAAUACUGAUGAUAUUACAGCGGAGGGAUAGGGGGUGUAAAGUGUCUUUCUGCAGAGCAGUCAUUGUGUCGGAAGUGAGAUUUUCACCCCAGUCAACUUCAAAUCCGUGUAGCAAAAAAUCUAAAUGGUCAACCCCCUACAAAAUUAUGAUGAGGAGAUUGCCAAAUGUUGUCCCCAUUGUGCCUAUAAAGAUUGGAACCAACGGAAUGUUGAGAAAAAAGCUACAGCCUGUGAUGUUACAGCCAUUUAACAUUGAAGUCAAUGGGCAAAUAAUUGCUAGUCUGAGUCCUGAUGAGAUAAAGAAACAUGGCCGACUCGGGAUGUUGAUAUUUUUUCAAGGGCUUAUUUCCUGAAGUUUUGAAUGGAAAGUGUCAGAAAUAGUAAGAAUACUGCUUUUUUAUUGCCCAGCAGUGCCAGGGCAAUGUUUCAUAGAGUGGAAUGAUUGACCUCAACACAGGUAUUAAAAAAAAAGAAGCAAAACAGGUCUACAUCUCAAAACCUGAUCUCUUCCUGGACUGGCUUUAGGAGAACGAUGAUGCAUAUCAAUUUCAUCCCUGAUCUCUAUGACACCUGUGGUGGAAGUGGAGGGCAAAUCGUAAUCAGUUUGGGACCUCUGUAAACUUUGCUUUUUGGUGAUGACUUAAUUUCCGAGCUUGAAAAGGACGCUUGUGUGUUUAUCAUGGCCUCUCAUAUUGGAAGAUAACAUUAAUGGCUUGUGUGUUGAUCGACGGUUGUGCAUAUCUCUUGGUCAGGAAAGUUGUAGGCACCAUCGCCAUUGUAAAUCAUUUGACAGGCUCGAGUGAACGGGGCGACCUAUGAUUGGUCAGCAAUGUAUCAGAUUCCAUACCGGGGGGUGGGGAUGAAAAAACUGUUGUAGUGUUACAUAAUCAGAUUAUUUCAACUUACUUAUCCUGUGGAAAUACAGCUAUAUAGGAGAUAUUUUGAAAUUCAUAGGCACUGCAUGUUUCAACAUUUUAGAUUUGACCACAAUUUGGCACUUAAAACUAUGUUAACAGAGAAAAACUGUGUGGUUUUCGAUGAAAGUGUUAAAAGUCUAAUAUUGCAUCAUGAUUACUGUUUUAAAGUAUUUUCGUGUUUGAUUUAUAUUGAAUUCAUCUCAUCUUUUUGAAGAAUGCAUUUAUGUUCAAAAAUAAAAAUGUUCUGUGGAAUUCAAAAUUCAUGUGCUUUUAAAUUAUCAGAUUCCAAACUGGGGGGUAGGGAUGAAAAAGCUGUUGUAGUGUUACAUAAUCAGAUUAUUUCAACUUACUUAUCCUAUGGAAAUACAGCUAUAUAGGAGAUAUUUUAAAAUUGAUAGGCACUGCAUGUUUCAACAUUUUAGAUUUGACCACAAUUUGGCACUUGAAACUACGUUAACAGAGAAAAACUGUGUGGUUUUCGAUGAAAGUGUUAAAAAGUCUAAUAUUGCAUCAUGAUUACUGUUUUAAAGUAUUUUCGUGUUUGAUUUAUAUUGAAUUUAUCUCAUCUUUUUACAGAAUGCAUUUAUGUUCAAAAAUAAAAAUGUUCUGUUUAAUUCAAAAUUCAUGUGCUUUUAAAUUUCUGUCUGAAAUUCCGCAGUUUUCUGAUGCAUUAUAGUGUUUGCAGAAUGCCGCACAGCUCAUCUGAAAAUGCAUAGAUUUUCAUAUUCUUUGGUCAGGGAAUUGCAUAUAUGUUUGUUUAUUAGAUAACAACAGAUUUGUUUAAACUGCAGAAACAUGUGAGGUAUAUAGGACUAAGACUAGUAAUUAUUUCCCCUUAUUUCAUGAUGGAGGAAUGUAGUGCGAGUUAUAAAUAGACAAUUUUUCCCUUAAUUUUUUUCUCCCCUCUUCCUGCAUUUUUGGGUUGACUUUUUGGUCUAGAAUUGGAGAAAAGGGAUCAAAUUUGCAAUUUCAUAGCAGUUUUGGGUAAUACUGAUGAUAUUACAGCGGAGGGAUAGGGGGUGUAAAGUGUCUUUCUGCAGAGCAGUCAUUGUGUCGGAAGUGAGAUUUUCACCCCAGUCAACUUCAAAUCCGUGUAGCAAAAAAUCUAAAUGGUCAACCCCCUACAAAAUUAUGAUGAGGAGAUUGCCAAAUGUUGUCCCCAUUGUGCCUAUAAAGAUUGGAACCAACGGAAUGUUGAGAAAAAAGCUACAGCCUGUGAUGUUACAGCCAUUU